AUUUUUUCAUUUUUUUGUUCGGUCUUUUGAUAAAUGAACUCGAAAUAGAUAAAUUAUGUUCCUUUGAUGUCUUUGUUCUAUAUUCUUUGUUCAAUUUCUUGCUUUUGUGUAUAUUUUUUUUUUCCUAUUUCUUCAGUUAUGCUGUUAAAUCUGUUGUCAUUUUAUUUUUGUGUUCGAUCUUUUAGGAGUUCGAACCCAGAAUCCCGGCUAUUUUGACAACUCAGGUUAGUUCCCUUUUUCAAAUUUCUGUAAUUUUAUACUAAUUUCUUUAUUGUAAUGAAUCCCUGUUUGAUUUAUUGAAUUUUACUUUUACGGGAUGAUGAUUAUUGUGAUUAGAAUGACUUGAAAAUACUUUUAUCUGUAUGGAUGUUAGUUGAAGCAUAUGUUAAUUAGUAGUAAUCAUCCUUGACAUCCCUUAGUUAUAUGUCAUAAUUUUACAUGCUGUCAAAUGAAUAAUAAAGUUAGCUUAAGUAUUAACUCUAAGCAAGCACCCCAGCAUCCUCAAAAUGUAAGUAUAUAACUAUUUUUCUUAAAAAAAAUUAUCCUUUAAAUUGUAUUGAACAAUCAAAAAUUUCUUCAAGAAUUUGCCCAAUUUAUUCAUAUUUUUCAAGAAAUUAAUAUUUUUUCUUGAUAAUUGUACUUUUGAAUUGAUAUCUCUAAAUCUUGGAAGAGAAAGAAGAUGAAAUUACAAGGAAGCAAAUUACAAACAAUAGAGAAAGCCACAGCAAGAGAAACGAAAUGGGCCUUACUACAAGUUGUACUCAAAUUUUCCAAUUUUUAUAAAAUUAAGCUUACCUUUCAUGUUUUAAUUUUUUUAUAUUUUCUUGAAUUAGCUGGUUGAUACGCUAAAGAGGAAACAAGGCAUGAAGAAAAUUCUACUUUUACUUGGCUUCAGUUCAUCUUUUAGCAGUAGUUUCGAGGCAUAAGCUUCUGUUCAACAGACCCUCUGACAAGAUGACACUUCUUAUACUAUCGGUGUUAUGAGUGAUCUCCUUAAUAUGCUUUACAUUAUUUUCCUCUAUAGACUUUUUCCAUUGUUCCAUUCCUUAGAUUGAUGUUAGCAAUGUCUUUCUGGUUCGUAUUGACAGGAAUUUUCCAAAUAUAAAAUAUAAGUUUGCAAUUACUGGUAUAACUGUUGAAGUAUAAAGUGAAAACCUUGUUUCUUUUUUGUUUUUGAGUAUUUACAGGACCAGAAAGCACCAGCAUGUUCCAUUUUGUAUGGAGAGUGAAAGUUUCGAUUGAUUACUAUUAAGGAUAGAUGAUACUUAUAUUUCAACUUGGACCAACUCACCACCAAUUCAUCCAAUGAUUUGAAGAUUUUGGAGUGACGAAUGCGAAUAGUUGCAUCCUGGGCUUUUUCUACCGCAGCAAAAGCGAACAUAUACGAAUGAUCUACAUAUUUUUUUCAAGUUUCUUAAUGUUGUGUAUUUGAGCAAGCAAAUAAAAAUGUUUGGUAGUUGAAUGUUGAGGGAGUACAUAUACUAAAAUAUACGAUUCAUUAAGUAAAAUCUAUAUUAUUUUAAUAUUUUUGGACUUGCAUGCUGCAGCCUGUGCUUUAAUUUUUGUUUUUUUUUUUAAAGUUUAGGUCAUUUGUGAGCUGUCUUUGUUAAUGUUGUCCCAGAUCCAAAUUGUAUGAGAACAUCAAUCAAAAUUUAUGUCCAAGUAAUUUGUAUUUUUGUGGUUAAUGAUAUGUAAUUGCCGUUUCUUGCAGAUGACAUUAUGUGAGGCUUUAAAUUUGACACUUGAUGAAGAAAUGUCUACUGACUUCAAAGUCGUUUUAAUGGGUGAAGAGGUAAACUGGAAGUUUUAGUUUACUAUGAGAAGAAAAUGCAAUUAGGCAAAUUGUUGCUUUGCUAUUUUUGGAUUUCACGACUUUUUUUAACUUGUUUAUUACUAAUACAUAGGUUGGUGAGUGUUACUCGUUCAAUAGCACCUCAACUACUUGAAUAACAAAACUUUUCUUAAUCUUAUUUUUAUUUUUUCAGUAAUUAGUAUUUUAUUUUUACUUUAUUUUACUUUAAUUUUCAAAGGACUUUUGAAGAAGUAUGGUCCCGACGGAGUUUUGGAAACUCCUAAUAUUGAGGUUUCUCUUUGCCUUAAAACUUUUGAAUUGUUUUUGUUGUCUUUGUAAUAAUUUCCAUACUCAACCAAUUUAUAUAUUGCAUGCCAGAUUUAUUGGAAUUGGAGUUAGUGCAGCUUACUAUGGUCUCAAGCCUGCGAUUUACAUGACUUUUAACUUCUCUAUGCAGGUGAGAAUUCUUUCUUUGAGCUAUGUUUAACCAUAUUUGGAAAUAUUUCCAUUCAAUUUUGAAUUGAUUCUUUACAAAUCCAAUGGUGCCUCAAUUGUCUGCCAUUAAAUGCAACCUGAGUAUUCUAUUGGUUAAUAUCUUUAAGUGCAUUUGAUUCCAUAAUGAUGCUCUACAAAUGUUAUGAUUUAGCUAAAAUUUGAUUUCGUAUUACCUCUUAAGUGGGAUAUUAAUUUGACAAACUGUGAAAAGAAUUCUAUGUUGGUUUGUACGUUAUUCAACAAGUUUAUCUUGCCUGGAAUCAUGCUAAUUUAACAUAACUAAUUUUGAUUCUGUUACUGGCUUUUUAGUUUUAUAGAAUCUUGAUCUGGUUUCCUCUACCAUGAUAUUUUUUAUUCUUACUUUCUUUGUUUUUUGGAGGUUUCAAAUGAUUAAUUGGUUAUGAUUUAUCUUAAUGGCUUAAUUCAUGAAAGAAAGUGGAUUAAUUGUGCUUAGAGGUAGUAUAUAUAGCAAUGGGUUUGCAAGAUUUUAAGGUAUUGGAGUGUAUAGGAAUUUUAGGCAUUAGCAGUUGUAGAAAUAAUGAAUUAUUACUCGAUUGAACUCUGUAAUGACUAGAUUAAAGUUUGAUUUAUUUGAUUUUGAAAGUCAAUCUACGUUGAGUAUGUUGGACUUGUUAGUUUAUUUAAUAAUAUGAAGAAUGAUUUGUUAAAUAUGAGCAUCUUAAGCUUAAAGAAAUUCUUAGAAAUUUGUUUGAGUUGCUUUAUUGGUAAAAUGUUAUUCAUUUUAAAAUUUUGAUCAAUCACUUUUGACUUUGACUACUCCAGCAACUCUUCUAUUGUCUUCUUUAUGUUGAUUAUAUUAGUUUUAAUUGAAGAGAGAUUAUGAAUAAAUACAUGAAAUUGAGUUAUAUAAACAAACUGAUAUAGUAAAAAAUUUAUUGUCUUCCAAUGCAGCCUCUUGAAAGCCUAAUUGAAUUUCUAUGUUGGAGUUUGAAUAAUUAGCAUCUUAUUCUCAAACUCUGAUAGUUCUUGUCUUAAGCCUUUUGUUUGGUUUUAUUACAAUUUUCUUAUCCUAUAGGUAAUUUUUUUUUGUGGAAAUUGGGUUACAUGGCCUAUCUUAUAAUACACUUUGCAAAUUUAGCCUUUGACUAGGAAAAAAGUAUUAAAAUAAAUAUUUUAAAUUAAAAUUAACAAACUACCUAAAUUACGCUCAUUCUAUCAAAACAGAUUUUUCCUUUUUCAUUUUCAUUUUUCUUUACCAUAUUCAUCUCCUCUCUAGAACGGUAUUCAAUCUUCCCAUUUGACUAGUCAGAGAUCGAUUGGAUCUAGAUUUUCUCUUCUUCUUAAGCCUCGUAUCACAUGUAUAUGCUCAGAUCCAAUUGAUUGAUUGAUUUGAAUGCAAUGGCCAGUAAUAAUAGUAAUGGAGAAGACAUAGAAAGUUCGGAUGAUAAUGAGAUUUCGUUUGGCAGGGGCAUGGGAGGAUGCAAGUACAGACCGCUAUUUGUUCAUGACCACGAUUGAGCUGUGCUUGAGAUGUCGUCAAUCGAUCCUGGUGAUGCAUCUUCGUCAUCUUCGUUACCUGUUCGGAACAAUGUCAAGUAAAUUUAUCUCCACUUUCAUGAUUGCUCUACUACUAAUUUGAAUGCUAGUACUUUAUGUAUUUAAUUGUUUGAGAAGUGAGUAUUUUCGAACAAGUACAACAAUUUCAGCACAGAGAACAACCUUUUGUGUAUCUAAGUUUAAAGAACCUGAGCUUUGAUCGGGCAUUAUGAUUGAAUUUUUUGUUUUUAUGGAACGAAAGAGAAUUAUGUUACCUAUUUGCAGCAUACUAGCAACUGAAAAAAAAAUGGGUGGAAGGAACAUUGGAGAAAUGGGUGACUACAGUCCAUUUGCUUUUUUUCUUUUGAGGGAAAAAAUCUGGAUGCACCUGCCAUAAAUAUUGGAUAUAGGAAGUUGAAUCUAGUAAACACACUUAACGUAUUGACAAGUAUUCAUAUCAUAAACUGUACGGGUAUGUAGAAUGAAAUAUAAGGAGAUAAUGCUUAGACAGUGUUUCAAGUGGCGUUUUGUGUAUUGCCAAAGAUUGCUCAAGAUUAUGUCAAUUAUGUUUGAAAUCAUAAAUUAUGCUACAAAUUAAUGGUUGAAAUAAUAAACUAUGCUCGUUUUGUGUUUGACUUGCUUUUUAGGCAGUAUUUGGUUGGUAUUAUGCGACAAAUUAUAAAUUACAAAGCAUAAGGACCUACUAUGCUAGUGCAACAACUUAGUGUCUUGUUUUAUUCUUACAUGGAGAGAAAUGUGAAAUUAUGCUGCCAAUAUGCCUCUUUUGAUUGGGAAUUGGGCAUGUAAAGAUUCUAGUUUUGGAUAAAACUAAAGCUAUAUAAGCAAAGCUUUGCAAAUUUAUUUAACUUGUGACAGUUAAUGAGAUUAAUUAGACCUCUUUCUAUCAAUUCUAGAAAUAGCACCCCGUCGUUUAUGAAUUAUGAAAAUGUCACUUUGUCGUUUAUCUGUUUUUGAAAAUGAAUUGUACUAAGAAUCACUUAACAUUACUGUAAAUUCUUCACAUUUGUUCAUUGGUUAAUUAACAUGAUCGUUUUAUGAUUUUUAUUGUAGAAAUGGAACACUCAUUUGAGUAUGUGAUUAUCGUUGAAGAUAGAUUUAAAAGGAGACCUUCACAGAAGUGUUCCCUUAAAAAAACUUGACUACGUUCGGGAGAUGUUAGAUGACGUUCAUAGAUAAGUGGUACAUGCCAUUUUGGGCUACAUUCUCGAUUUCACUCUAAAAUUAACAUAAUUGUUCUCUUUGUAUUUUUUCAAUUUUAUGUGAUCGGAGGAUAAAUGACUUAGAUGCUAAUUUUGCCUAGAUGGGAAUGUUUUGUAUGAUUUAGUUGGAAAACAAGUACAUGAAUGUUGAUUUUGUAAUGGACGCUGACUAGUGCAACUAUAAAAUUUUGCAAUGUUUUCAUUGUAUGAAUGUUUUAUUCAAACAUUGAAGUAGUCAAGGUCGAAACAUAGUUGCAGUUUUAUGAUAGCUCGUAUAUUUAUGCAAUGGAAAAACAAAUUGUAUUAUUAACUACACAAAUUUAUCCAAUCUGGAAAACGACAGUUAUACAUUUAAAAUGACCAACAUGUUGUUUUGUGUCACGAGGCCUCGAUCUCACUAAGAAACAAGUAUUGGAGUGACAACAUGUGGUUUUAGGUAACAGGAUUUCAACUUCACUUGAUCAUAUUGAACGAUUACACGUGCUAUAUUUUUGUAUACUCUACCCCCUAAAUGACACCCUUACAUGUAAAAUGAUAGCAUGCCGUUUUGGGUCAAGGGAUCUCAAAUUCACUCCAAAACUAGUAAAAUAGUGUUUUGAACAUCAUAUAAGACUUGUAAAUUUUGAACAAUUACAUGUUUUUCUGUUUUUUAAACUCUAUACCCUAAAACCUAAACCCUAAACGGCAACCCUCCAUUUAAAUUGAUCAGAUGCCAUUUUGCAUCACGGGGUAUUGAUUUCACUCCAAAACUAAUAAAAUUGUGUUUCGAACAUCGUAUAUGAAUUGUACAUGUUGAAUAAUUACAUGUUUUUUUAUUUUGUAAACCCUAUAUCCUAAAACAUAAAAGAUACCCUAAAAUCUAAACCCUAAAUGGCAACUCUUCGUUUAAAACGAUCAUAUGUCGUUUUGGGUCACGGGUUAUUGAUUUCACUUCGAAACUAGUGAAACAUGCUUUGAAACAUCAUAUAUGACUCGUACAUACUAAACGACUACACGUGCUAUGUUUUGGAUGCCAUACUUGCUACUUACGUUUUUCUUUUUUGUUAAGUGAAGCGUAGCUUUCUAGCGGAUUAUGGAGUGACUCACUAUAGUUUGAACAAAUAUGUCGAUCACAAUGUCGAAAUGUAGUUAAAACUUCUAUCCCUAUACUUUCACAUAGUUAAGAGUGUGAAUGAACUGAAACAAACACUAAAUGAAUAGAAACCAGUAAUACGUUUAAAAUAACCAAAUGCAGUUUGGGGUCAUUGAUUAUCAAUUUCACUUUGAAACUAGUAAAAUAUGUUUUGAAACAUCAUACAUGUCUCUUACACAUUGAAAGACUACACGUGCUAUGUUUUGGAUACCAUAAUUGUUACUUAGGUUUUUCUUUGUUGUCAAGUAUAGUGUAGUUUCCUACCGAAUUAUGGAGUGACUCGCUAUAAUUUGAACAAAUGUGUCGACCGUAAUGUCAAAAUGUAGUUGAAACUUUCAUCUCUAAACUUUCAUGUGGUUAUAGGUGCGAAUGAAUCGAAACGAACUCCAAAUGAGUAGAAAUGUCAGCUAUACGUUUAAAAUGAUCAAAUGUUGUUUUGAGUCACGGUAUAUCAAUUUCACUCCGAAACUAGUAAAAACAAUGUUUGGAACAUCAUAGAUAAGAUGUACGAGUUGAAUGAUUGUACAAGCUAUGUUUUGUAUACCAUACUUGUUACAUUUUCCUUUGUAGUUAAAUGUAGUGUAGUUUCCAAUCGAAUGUAUGAUGUGACUCACUAUAGUUUGAACAAAUGUGUCGAUCGCAACAUCGAAAUGCAGUAGAAUCUUUUAUCCCUAAACUAUCAUAUAGUUAUAAACAUGAAUGAACCGAAAUGAAUACUAAAUGAGUAGAAAUGUCAACCAUACGUUUAAAAUGACUAGAUGCCAUUUUAGGUCACGGUGUAUCAAUUUCACUCCAAAACUAAUAAAAUAGUGUUUCGAACAUCAUAUAUGAAUUGUACAUGUUGAAUAAUUACAUGUUUUUCUAUUUUGUAAACCCUAUAUCCUAAAACAUAAAAGAUACUCUAAAACCUAAACCCUAAACGACAAGUCUUCGUUUAAAAUGAUCAUAUGUCGUUUUGGCUCACGAGGUAUUGAUUUCACUUCGAAACUAGUGAAACAUGCUUUGAAACAUCAUAUAUGACUCGUACACACUAAACGAUUACGCGUGCUAUGUUUUGGACGCCAUACUUGCUACUUACGUUUUUCUUUUUUGUUAAGUGAAGUGUAGCUUUCUAACGGAUUAUGGAGUGACUCACUAUAGUUUGAACAAAUAUGUUGAUCACAAUGUCGAAAUAUAGUUAAAACUGCUAUCCCCAUACUUUCACAUAGUUACGAGUGUGAAUGAACUGAAACAAACACUAAAUGAAUAGAAACCAGUCAUACGUUUAAAAUAACCAAAUGCGGUUUGGGGUCAUUGAUUAUCGAUUUCACUUUGAAACUAGUAAAAUAUGUUUUGAAACACCAUACAUGUCUCUUACACAUUGAAAGACUGCACGUGCUAUGUUUUGAAUACCAUAAUUGUUGCUUAGGUUUUUCUUUGUUGUCAAGUAUAGUGUAGUUUCCUACCGAAUUAUGGAGUGACUUGCUAUAAUUUGAACAAAUGUGUCGACCAUAAUAUCGAAAUGUAGUUGAAACUUUUAUCUCUAAACUUUCACGUGGUUACAGGUGUGAAUGAAUCGAAACAAACUCCAAAUGAGUAGAAAUGUCAGCUAUACGUUUAAAAUGAUCAAAUGUUGUUUUGAGUCACGGUAUAUCAAUUUCACUCCGAAACUAGUAAAAACAAUGUUUGGAACAUCAUAGAUGAGACGUACGAGUUGAAUGAUUGUACAACUAUGUUUUGUAUACCAUACUUGUUACAUUUUCCUUUGUAGUUAAAUGUAGUGUAGUUUCCAAUCGAAUGUAUGAUGUGACUCACUAUAGUUUGAACAAAUAUGUCGAUCGCAACAUCGAAAUGCAGUAGAAUCUUUUAUCCCUAAACUAUCAUAUGGUUAUAAACGUGAAUGAAUCGAAAUGAAUAUUAAAUGAGUAGAAACGUCAACCAUACGUUUAAAACGACUAGAUGCCAUUUUGGGUCACAGUGUAUCAAUUUCACUCCUAAACUAAUAUGUCAUUCUAGGUCUCGAGGUCUCGAUUUCACUCCAAAACUAUUCGAUCAUAUUUCAUAAAAUCUUAGAAGACUUAUACAUGCUAAACACGAUAAUUUGUUGAGUGCCUUAUCUCAUAAUUGAAAUAUAAUAGACUUUAAGUUACUUUCCUUCGUUUAUAGUGAAGUUUGUAUUGAUCGCAAUAUCCAAAUGUAAUAAAAUCUUAUAUUCACAACAUCUUAGACGACUUAUACAAGUUAAACAUACUAAUUUGUUGAGUAUCUUAUCUCACAGUUGAAGUAUCUUUGUCUUAUCUCACAAUUGGAGUAUCAUUGAAUUCAAGUUAAUUGCAUACGUUCAUAGUGAAAUUUAGUGUAGUUUACUUAAAAAAAAACAAUAUUGUUGGUUACUACCUUGUUAACUUUUGUAGCGACUUUGGUAUCUAAAUGUAAUGAAAACUUGCAUUCGUUCAUUUUCAUAUGGACACGAAUGAACAUAAAGUGAAAUAAACACAAAAAUAGUUAAAACGAUACUCAGGAAUUUAAAAUGAUAGCAUGCCAUUUUGGGUUAUUGAAGUCUUGAUUUCACUUCAAAACAGUCAUUCAUCUCUCGAAAAAUCUUAUAAGACUUAUAGAAAAAAUAAGCUAAAUUAUUUAGUAUCUUGUCUCAUAAUUUGAAUAUAAUCAAACUUGGAUUACUUAACUUAGUUAGUAGUUAAGUCAAGUGUAAUUUACUCAUAAAACAAUAAUGUUCAUCAUUAUUGUAGGUACUUUGUAUUGACACUGGUAUCUAAAUGUAAUGAAAAAUGCAUUCGUUCAUUUUCAUGUAAAUAUGGGUGAAAAUAAAAUGAAACGUAUAUGGAAUUUGUUGAAACGACACCUAAUCAUUUAAAAUGAUAGCAAGACAUUAUGAGAUCUUGAUUUCACUCUAUAUAUUGUUAAAACUUGUCUAUGUUAAUUUUAAUGUGAAAACGAGAGAGCAAGUGAAACAAAAACGAAAAUUAGUUAAAACGUCAUUGAGCAGUUUAUAACAACAUGUCGUUUGGGUCACGAACCUUUAACUUCACUCCAAAUAUGGUUAAAACUUUUUUUUAUUUAAUUUUCACGUGGAUAAGAGUGAAUAAGCUAAAAUGAACACGAAAUUAGUUAAAAUGACAUUCAAUCAUUUAAAAAGGCAGCAUGCCUUUUUGCCGUUGAUUUUAAAUUGGGUAUGAAAAGUGAAUGAAAUAGGAUCUAUGUUUGAAGAAUUUGGUAAAUUUUGAUUUCAAAUUGGGCAUUUUAGACAAUUUGCAAGAAGGGUAUUUAAGACUUUAACUCAUGAUAAAAUAGAGUAAAUGCUAUUUUACCAAACAUUAUUGAGUGUAGGCUAUUUUAUCAAGAAACUUUGUUGACUAGGCUCAUUAAGCAAAUCCCCCAUUUUUUUUGAAAAUAAGUUAAUAUUUUUUAUAACAAUUUCAUUUAUUUAAGGGAUUCUUAAGUAAAACACAUACUUUAUAUUGUAGUUAUGUUCUAAAUAUCUUCUUUAUGUUUAGUUUUAAACUACCACAUUAUAAAAGUUUAGUGAAGCACACAUCUCUGAAGGAAUUAAUACAUCACGUUUUUUCGAAUAUACAUGUAUAUGAUCAUAAUCUAGAUACAAUGGCAACUAGACUGAUUCUUAUGCCUACAAAUAAAUGUGUUAAUCAUAUUAAUAGAAUUUUACUCAAACUAAUUCCUGGUCAACUUUAUACAUAUUAUAGCUUUGAUGAAGUAAUUGAUAAAUUAGAACAUAGUCUAUAGGAAGAUUUUUUAAAUUGCUUGACUUCAAAAGGUAUUCCACCACAUGAAUUGAGACUUAAAAAGAACGUAAUUCUUGCUGAAAUUACAUCUAGCGAAUAUUGUGGAAAGUAUGUCUUCUUACCAAGGAUUCCUUUUAUGCCUCUGAAAAAUGAUCAAAACUCAACUCCAUUUAGAAUGACUCAAUUUUCAAUAAGACCAUGCUUCGCAAUGACAAUAAAUAAAGCACAAGGUUAAACACUUGACUUUGUUGGAUUGUACCUUCCAGAACCAAUUUUUUGUCAUGGUCAGCUUUAUGUAGCGUUAUUAAGAGCAAAAGCAAGCAAAUCUAUAAAAGUUCUAAUGAAACCAUUAAAUACAAACAAUUUACACAACACAUGUACAAAUAAUAUUGUUUACGAAGAAAUUCUUUAUUUGGUAAACAGAGAUAUCACAUCUUCAUCCUCUACCUCUUGAUUACGAUUUAUAAAGGUGACAAUAGAAUUCUUUUUUUUUUUAAUUGAAUUAAUUUCUUUAAUUUGGUUUAUUUUUAGAUAUAUGAUCUUAUUUCUUCUUCUUCACACUAAUCAUAUUUUUUUCAGGAGAUUGACUACACAAAAUUUCCCAAUGUAGAGAAAUUUGCAGAAAUUCAUGUAUUUCAUAAUCUCAUUUAUCUACAAGGUUUUUGAGGACUAGGUCAGUCUACAUACAUACAUGUACAUAGCACAGAUAUACACACAUACACAUACAUCUACUGGCACUUGAAAAUUGGGAUAUGUUUUUUAUUUUUAACAUCUAGAGACAUGAUCACAUCAAUGUUGAUAUUGACCUUUUAGACACUUAUUAUUCUGAUAUUUGAUUUGGGUCUCAAUUGGGAGCUUGUAAGUGAUGUAAUUAACAGUAAUUUGCAAUUCAAGGUGAGAUCAUUGAAAUUUAAUGCAUGUAUCUUUCUUGAUAGCUCUGAUUUGAAUUUUAUAAUGAAAUAUUUUCAUUUCCUAUUGGGUAGGUUUUUUGUUGAAAUUUUCUAUUUUGUUAUGCCUCCUGAUUUCAUAUACUUCUUUAAGCUUAAAAGAGGAAGACGAAUUAAAAGAUGCAAGUUUUGUUGAAAAGGAGAGAAACUAUGAAAAAUCCAUUGUGUUGGGUAACAAACAGGGUAUGAUAGCAAAUUUAUAUCAUAUAUCAUUUUUUGUAUAAGGAAUUCUCUAAUCCCCUUGAAUUUUCUCUAUUCUCUUCAUUUUCUAACAUUUCCUAAAUUUAAUGUCAACCAUUUAGAGAGAGCUUCUUACAAGGAAUAUGCCAAAGUCGUUAAAGCUCAAGAUCCCAUCAGGUACUUUCACGUUGGAUAGGCAAGGGAGUGAUAAUGAGAACCAUACUUUUGAAGCUGCCAGCGAGAUUAAGAAUCAAGGGCGGAUAAGAUCAAAGAAUGAGCAAGAGGAUAUUAACAGUACUAUUACGAAACAAUUUACUAAUUUGGGAUAAGCUGAGCGUGAUAGAGUGAGGCAAAUUUUUCGUUAAUGGAUGAAAGAUGGUGUUAAAAGUCACACAUCUAAUGGUCUGCAUAGCAUGUCCAGGCCACAAUGGCUUGGUGAGAAUUAAUGUGAAAGGGUGAGAACUGUUAGAGAGUGGGUUCAGAUGGAUAUCCAACAGAGAAGCAGUUGUCACUCACAUAUAGAUGCAGUCGGCGAAGUUGGUUUACAGUUUAUAGACUGGUAGCCAACCUUGGUGCACGAAGGCCUAAUUGAAGAUUAUGUGGCAGACAGACUCUUCCUGAUCUUUUGCAGAGGUCUCAGGUUGAAAGGAAAAUAGAACUAUUGAAGUUGUCUGAGUGGAAAAAAGUUACAGAAUUUGCUCAUCAUAAUUCCAUUCAGGUGAUUACCAUUAAUGAUUUUUUUGUUAAAUUCAUUUAAGCGUGAGAUCCAUUGUUCUAGGUCGUAAAGUGUUACACAGGCUGUCAACCUACAGCAGACCCUCCUCCUUUACCCAGGGGGCUUGGGACCGACUAUAAAAUAUAUAUGCAAACAACUGGUUCUUAUAAAAGAGAGUGCAAUUAUAACUUGUCUUUGUAGAAUAGUCACGGUCUAAUAACAAUGUAUAAACUCAAAGGAAACACUAAGUCAUUAUAUAGACUUGGAAACAAAUUGAAAGCUAAUUUUGUUGAUCUUCAUUGACUUAUUCCUCUCUGAUUAUCUCAAUCUAUCUCAUAUUAUAUGUUAGUGUUCAUAUAGCUGCCAUUCUAAUUCAUUACUGUACUUGGAGAACAUUGGCCCAAAUGUCUCCACUAAGAGCAUUGCAUCCUUUUUACCCCCUCAAUCGUAAACUUUCUUCCUUCUCUAUUUGGAGCUGCCAUUAUGUCAUAAUUCCUUCCAAUUUAUUGGAGGAUAAAUUUUUUGUGAAAUAACUUUCUUUCACAAACAUUUGUUGUGAUUGAAGGGUUAUGUUUAACCAAAUUGCAAAAUGCUUAUAAAGGUAAAAUAUUUACCUGAAGAUGAUACUCAAACUUGCAAUUCUCCUAUUGUCGUAUUCCUACAUCAGGUAGUGUUACACAAUUGAUUGCUUGUAAGUUUCUCUGAAAUUUAAUAUUAUUUUUUUACCUUCACUAAUUCUAUAUUUCUAUUUCAGGCGGUUCUUAGAAGAAGUUUCCUUCAAAAUCAAAGAUUAAUCCAGGAUACAAGACCAUCAUCUGUGGCUGCAAUUGAAUUGGUUUUACUAAAGCAAAGACCUACAGUAUUUGAUCUAAGGUAGAUUUUAGUGAUCCCAAGUGAAUGCUAAUUGGUCAAGUUCACAAAAUUGAAUCUCAUUUUUCUUACUUUCCUUCCUUCAAUACAU
rnacentral:lncRNA from 1 species